rnacentral:rRNA from 1 species
AGUGAACGCUGGCGGUAGGCCUAACACAUGCAAGUCGAACGGCAGCACAGUAAGAGCUUGCUCUUACGGUUGGCGAGUGGCGGACGGGUGAGGAAUACAUCGGAAUCUACUUUUUCGUGGGUGAUAACGUAGAGAAACUUACGCUAAUACCGCAUACGACCUACGGGUGAAAUCAAUGGAGCUUCGGACCUUUCGCGAUUGAAUGAGCCGAGGUCGCAUUAGCUUGUUGGCGGGGUAAAGGCCCACCAAGGCAACGAUCCGUAGCUGGCCUGAGAGGGUGAUCGGCCACACUGGAACUUAGACACGGUCCAGACUCCUACGGGAGGCAGCAGUGGGGAAUAUUGGACAAUGGGCGAAAGCCUGAUCCAGCCAUGCCGCGUGGGUGAAGAAGGCCUUCGGGUUGUAAAGCCCUGUUGUUGGGAAAGAAAAGCAGCAGAUUAAUACCCCGCUGUUUUGACGGUACCCAAAGAAUAAGCAACGGCUAACUUCGUG